AAGAAUUCAGCCUACGUCACGGAGGCUCGAAUGACUCGGUGCUAUAUAUACAGAUGGUUCACGACACGUGGCCACGCUCUCUGAAGACGUGACAUCCAAUCACGAAACGCGUCAGGGCGUGGUCACGUGAACCAACUGUCCAAUCAGGCGAGCGGGAUCCCGGGACUCACGGCGUCAGGAGGAGGAAUCCCCAGGCAGCUAUACUAAGUGAGAGCAUGCGAGCCUAUUGAUUGCAGCACAGCGCCAUAUUUGAAUUUUGAAUUUUAUUUGAUUGUAAGCAUAACAUUGAAGAGAGCUUCACCCUGAUUGAAAUAAACAGUGUUACACUAUGUGGAGUCUCCCUCUUGUUUUUACAUAAAUGCAUCCAUUUGAGCACAACCAGAGCCCACCAGACGGUAGCAGAAGGACGGGGAGAGAUCCAGCUGUACCAUCAUAUACUCCAGACAGAGAGUCAGCGUUCCAUGCCUUUUGAUGUCAUCCAUCUGGUGUAGUCACAAGUUCAUAUUUGAAGAAGCACCCUGGACAAAGUGAGGACAGACGCACAGAUGUCAAACCAAACGGGAGUCUCCAGAAAAUUUCCCUGAACAGCAGUUGUGAAGAAAGGAGGAGGUUCUAAUAAACAGCUGCCCAUGGACAGUGGCUCAUUAAGCGUACUAAUAAAGAUGUCACUUUA